rnacentral:lncRNA from 1 species
UUUCUGUAGAUGUUCCGUGUUUGAUAAAUGUGAGUAGGUUAAAAUGGGAACUUAUCCAUUACUGUAGAACUUCUCCAUUUCGUCGGAAUUCACUGAACAAGCGUGAAGACCCAAACUUAAAAGCUGAAACGAGGGUUUUUAGUUUUUACGUUGGCUCUCUCGAGGGUUUUUACUUUUUACCUUGGCUCUUUCUUUCUCAUCUGGACUCUGGUGCUCCACCCUCCACCUGCAAGAUCAAGAUUCAAGGUCUCUCUUCCAAAAUUUCAAGUACUCUCUCUCUCUAUCUCUGUCUCUCACACACACACACUAUGGCCCCAAGCAUGAUGCCCUCUCUCUCUUCCUAUGUCUUGUAGCUCUGGCCUAAAUUUGGGGGAUUUCAAAUAACAACCCUAUAACACUGAAUAAGGGCAUUUGGGGGUUUUCAUAUAGCAACCUUAUAACUCCGAAUAAGGACAAGCAUCUGCACUGAUAUUUUUAUGUCUUGUAGCUCUGGCCUAAAUUUGGGGGAUUUCAUAUAACAACCCUAUAACACUGAAUAAGGGCAUUUGGGGGUUUUCAUAUAGCAACCUUAUAACUCCGAAUAAGGACAAGCAUCUGCACUGAUAUUUUUAUGAAUCAAUCUCUUUGAUUGUUGAUUAUUUAUUAAUUCAGUGUGUUAUUUUCAUGGUAUUAUGAUUUUUUUUUUAUACUUUUUCUUUGUGAUGUUUUAUGAAUUUUUGUUUUGACUAUUUAUUUGAAAAUUGAAAGAAUAAAAUGGAUUCGAUCUCUAGGAUGAAAUUGAUCAAAUUAAAAUUAGGAUUCAAUAAUUUCUCUAUCCUCUAUUUUUGGUUGGAUUAAAGUGCUCUUUUUUUGGUUGGAUUAAAAUGCUCUUUUUGGGUUAGAUUUUGGCAAUGUACAUUUGGACUAGAUAUGGAAUUAUGGACCUCAUGAACUUUAUUAUUUGUAUCUUUCUUUCUUCUUCUUUUUUUUAUAUAUUAUGUAUAUGCAUGAAUGUUUUUAUGAUCUCUAUGGUUACAGAUUCGUUGACAUAUAUUUUUUACCUUUGAAUUUGUAAUUUUUUAUUUGGAUUAAACCAGAAAAUGAUGGAUAUUCACAUAUUUGUUAUCAUUUAAUAUUUAUUUGGAAUGUAAAAUGAUGAAUAGAAACGCUAUAACUUGCUCUUUGUAAUUAAGAUUUAUCAUUGGUAAUAGUAUUAGCAUAUAAGUAGUAACAAAUUUUUUAUUUUUUCUUUUUUUAACUUAUAAAAAUAUAUUUCUAUUUUUUAUUUUUUUUUUAAAAAACCCGAAGUCUUCUCCUAAAUCAACCGAAUCAUCGAAUUGCUUCAUUUUUCAUGUCAAACCGAAACAGACUCCGAAGCGAAUCUGAAAGCAUUAAUGAAUAUAUAUGUACCUUUCAUUGAUUUUCUUUUGUGUGUUUAUGAGAAUUAGGGUUUUAUGUUACUGCAUCUGAAUUUGGAUUGUAGAGUAUGGGAUAUAUGUUGAUUCAUGCUGAAAAUAUGUACAACCUUUUUUGGAUUGUUUUUUGUUGAAGAGGAUUUUAAAAGAUAAUGAUUUAUCGUGGUGUUUAAAUUUCUUUGUGGAUUGGGGCACUUAAAGCCUAUGUGAUACAUGUACUUUCAUAUGCGUACUUUAUGGGUGAUUCCUGCCCUUGUGUUUGAGUUUUUUAGGGGAUUUUUUUAUGAUUCCUGCCCUUGUGUUUGUGUUUGGUGUUGAAUAUUUUCCUCUUGUUUUAUUGAUUAUAGUUGUUAGUUGAGUGAAGGGCAAUUCUUGUUCACGUAAACAAUGGUUUGAUUGGAAUACAGGGUUUGGUUUGAGUACAGGUUUUUAAUAAUGCUUUUCCAUGCCUCUUUAAUAUUUUUUUGAAUUUUGUUAGAUUUAGGUUUUAUUUUUCUUUCCCCUUCAUCAAUUCAUCCUGUAUAUAGGUGGUUUUGUUGGUACUUGUUAGUGAGUAUUUUCCUUUUGAAGAACCUUUAUCUUCUACAAUUUUAUUGAAUAUUAUUAUUUUUAUUUGAAAAUUUUGGAAACUUGUAAGAAUUGGGUUUUCCCUGUUUUCAUAUUUCAAAAUUGGGUUUUCUUGUUUGAUAUUUCAAGGUUUUCAAGAUGAUAAUUUUCUGCAUAUUUCUCUCUCUUUCCGCAUGAUUUCUUUCUUGAGCUUUGAUCUUUGUUAUUAAGCUUUGAUUAUGUGUUCUUCAUCUAUGAAUAUGAGAAAACUUUUCAUACUUAUUUAGCAUCCAUGGGGUUUUAUUCGACCAUUGAGACUGUAGUUGUAGAAUCAACGAACAAAGAAAAAAACCAACUUGUUAUAUAGAUUGAUUGGAAAUUUUUGCAAAUAACAACAUUUCUCAAAGAAAUCAACACGAAAUUUGGUGAGUUUGUUGUGGAAUUUGAGUUCAAAAAAUGGUUGAAGAAUCCAGUAUUGAGAGAAAUAUAAUUGAGAAAGUAGAAUUUAAACAUUAACUUCCAAGGAGGUUAUCAAACACAAAUACCAGUAACUUCUUUAACUUCUCAGGAGGUUAUUAAACACGAACUUUUUUUAACUUCACAAGAAGUUAUCAAAUAUAGAAACCAGGAACUUUUUUAACUUCCCAAGAAGUUAUCAAAUAUAGAAACCAUGAACUUCUUACAGUAACUUCUAUCUUCCUAACAAGGAAGAACUUCCAAUUUACAAUUCAUGAACUUGCUUCUAGUUAUCAAACAAGCCAUAGAAGUAAGGCGCACGUCCAUAGUUUUAUUCGAAGAUGUAGUUUGCAUGUUGGAAAUCUUAAAACGGCUCAACGAUCGAUUUUUAGCCCUAGUUAUAAAUUUUAAAACUUAAAAAAUGGUGUAGAUCUGUAUACAACUAAAUUCAGGCCUGACCUAAUACAAGAUCUUAUGCAAAUUCACUCUUCAUGAAUUAACUGAAAAUAUAUGGGCAACCUAUCGAUUUCCCCUCCAAAAGUGAUCAGAUCUCACUUAAGAGAUCAAAGCCUCUUCGAACCUUUGACAGCGCUGGCUUGUAAUCACAUCCAAGUUGAAGGGAAACAUAUGAUAAGCAAAGGUACAAGAAAUAAAGAAAGCUAAAAAUGAAAAUAAAGCGAAAUGAAAAACUUUGCAUCGGCCAAUGCCUAUCACCCUACACCUAGACUAAGGGUCGUGACCAGAGCCUAAUUGAUUGAAUAAACUCAUUUUGAAGUAAAAUAACUGACUUUGAAUCUUAAAAGAAUAGAAGUGAGAAGGCUUUAGAAAUCUAGGGUUUAAUGCAUAAGGUAAUAAAAAGAUGGAUGAUUUCUCCUAAGAAAUGAUUGAUCAUGGCUAUUGGAAGGGUUUAAGGGUUUGAAGGCUCCUAAGAAUUUAACUAAAAGGGUUUUUAAGGAUUAGGGUUGAGUUAGGCAAGAAAAUUAGGGUUUAUUUUGAAAGUGCCGACUGACUAACCCCUUUGAUGGUCGAAAAUGAAACUUUUGUAAACAAAAAUGGACUUCAGAAAUUAAAAGGCAGUUGUCAGAGCCAAUUAGAGACUGAGAACUUGUCACACCGCACUUCCCCGUGUACAAUUUAAGGUGGUAGAAUUAGCUAACCGACUCUGGCUGAUAUAGUUUUUUCUGGGAUUCUAAUUUUGAGGAUAAUCUCAUGUAAUUUUUUAUCAAAUUGACGGGGUUUGGCAAUUUCCUCAGUAUUCAGUUUCUUUUUUUUCCCUUAAACCUUCAUUUUUUGGUCCUAGGCUUCCUAAGAUGGGAUAUUUGGGAUCUCUAGGUAUAUUCUUGCUAGACUAUGAUUUGAUAUGGAUUAUGGUUUAAUGUGUCCUAUAGUGUAUUGUGCUAAUGUGGUACCUAGGGAUUAAAUAUCUUGUUUAAUGCUUUUCUCUAUGUCUUUGAGAGUUAUUUCUAUGCCUUGAGAUUUAGACUUAAGAGAAAAUGUCAAUUCCAAAUUGGGUGUCUAUAAUUGCCCCUCUAACGCAUCCUUCCCUUUGAAGGACAGAUGUGCGGCAAAUGUAGACACCAAUGGAUAAAUGAUUGAAUGACUUAAAACUUAGAAUUAAUGCUCAGAGGAUGGGUGUCCCAUUAGAUCCAUCGGCACAUUGAUUGCCACCAUUUUUCAGUUGCCCACCUAGGAAUUCUUGCAUCUAAGGCUUAGGGGUUGAGCAUACUUUGGAACAGUGAUUUAAAAAACAGAUGGGUACCCCUGAUCGGGCACCUUAGAAACCCAUCCAGAUCGGUGAAUCGGUGUUUCGGAUCGGGAAUCGGGCAGAAUCGGCAAUUGUUGUCCCAAAGAAUAUUUAAAAAGUCACUAUAAAUAUAUAAAAAUAGUGUUAUUUUUAAUUUCUAAAAGAAUUUAGGAGUGGUGCAUUACUUAUUUUCUUUAUUUUGUAAAAAUAGGUGAUUAAUGAGAAGUUGUUUUUCUAUAUGGUUGUCUGUAUAAUUAAAAUAAAUAAAUUAAUAAGUAAAAUAUAAGAUUUAGUUAUCAUUGUAAUUAGUAUAAUUAUUAAUUAAAAUAUUAUAAUAAAUGUAAUUCAAAAAACAAGGGUAUGGCCCUCACAAAUAAAUAAAUCUAAUAUAUAAUAAUUCAUGUGGAUAGAAAUAUAAAUAUAAAUUUACAAUAAUAUUUUAAUAAAAUUAAAAAAAUAUAAAUAAAUUCAUACUUGCAAUGUGAGGUAAUUGAUAAAGCAACUUAACAAUAAAUUAUUAAGUGGUAUAAGCUAGUGUUAUUUUUCUCUCUUAAAAUAUCUCAUAAAAUAAAAUUUUUUUAAUAUUCAAAAUUUUUUCUUUUCUUAAUAUAUUAUUAGCGAUAACCUUUUGUGUGCAAGGUGGACAUGAUAACCGACUAUACCACAACUCCACUUGUUGACUUACCAUUUAUAAUAAAGGGCUAUAUCGUAUUACCUUUUCAAGCCAAAGUACCAUGCUCAAAUCGCCAAUCGAAAAAUUAAGAGAAGUUUUACGUCAAUAAAACCUCCUCGGUACGAUGCUUCAUCGCGUGCUUGAAAUGCAUGAGGCUAACGGAGACAAACGUAGUCAUAGUUGUACCAUGCCACGAUUACCCUUUUUUUUAAAGAAAAUUACAAAAGAACCCUCCAACACAGCUACAUCAUAACAUUCUUUGACGUCAUAAUACGUUUCGUGACGGCAAAAUUGCCCUACACACCCAAUUCCUUUCUAAACAUAUGUGGUUUUCUGUUCCUGUUUUGAGCUACAAUCAACACGAGGUGACCGAUUCCUUUUCUAAAUAUAUGUGGUUUUUUGUUCCUGUUUUGAGCUAGAAUCAACACGAGGUGACUGAUUCCCUUGUUGAAUCGCCCAAGUGAGUGAGUAUUGAGUGUAAGAAAAGUGAGAAGCAUAAGAGAUUGAAAAAGAGUAUGUAGAGAGAAAAAAAUUAUGGAAGUGAAGGCAUCAACCUUUCUUAUCUGGUGUAAGCUUUUUGUCGAAGUAAUUCUAAAUGAGAUUUAGAAGAUAAGUACACUCUCUCUCUCUCUUCUUAUAGUUUUUAUGUAUUGUUAUUUUGGAUUUAAGUUUUUAAUUAUUCAAACUCCCAUAAUGAUGUCCCGAAUGCCCUGCAGGUCGAGAAGGAAGCAUGGAAGAUGUCGAGCUCUUCAGCAACACUCACAGUCCAGCCGCAGACGGCAUCAACAAUCAGGCAAAGAGAUCGGGGACUCUCAGAUAGGAGGCGCUUGAGGGCAGGUUGUGGUGCUUCGACUGCCUUGCAGGAGGGGAGAAGGAGGUCAGAGGGCAUGACAUCGGUGCUCUCCGCACUAGCCGGCAGCCCAUGGUCAGUGCUGGAAAAGGGGAGCUCGGCCACCGUGAUGGUGGUUGUGGACAGCAUGGAUCCCAUCUUUUGGGAGUUGCGAGGGUUGCCCACCAGGAUGAUGGCGUAGGACGUGCGGUGGGCGAGCAUGUGAGCUAGAGCCACGAAGGGGAUGAGGUGCCCUUGGGCUGGGAAAGGCAGCAACACCACGCGUUCGACCUCUUGGCCGCUUGCCAAUGCAAGUGGCUACCCGCCAUGUCUAUUUAUCUUUAUUUUAGAGAGAGAGAUUAUGUUGCACAUGGAGAAUUUGUUGAGAGAGAGAAACAUAGGUGGUGUUCAAAGUUAAUUUGUUGAGAGAGAGAAACAUAGGUGGUGUUCAAAGUUAAGAGACAAUACAUGAUAGGAGGGUUCACGAAGGAAAUGGUACAGGAAAGGCUGGGGUUUGUAUAGAGCUGAGGAUGUAAACAAUCAAAAUAAAGCACACUUUCAAAUGGUGUCGGGGAA